rnacentral:rRNA from 1 species
AGUUUGAUCCUGGCUCAGGAUGAACGCUGGCGGCGUGCCUAACACAUGCAAGUCGAGCGAUUCUCUUCGGAGAAGAGCGGCGGACGGGUGAGUAACGCGUGGGUAACCUGCCCUGUACACACGGAUAACAUACCGAAAGGUAUGCUAAUACGAGAUAAUAUACUUUUAUCACAUGGUAGAAGUAUCAAAGCUUUUGCGGUACAGGAUGGACCCGCGUCUGGUUAGCUAGUUGGGUAAGGUAACGGCUUACCAAGGCGACGAUCAGUAGCCGACCUGAGAGGGUGAUCGGCCACAUUGGAACUGAGACACGGUCCAAACUCCUACGGGAGGCAGCAGUGGGGAAUAUUGCACAAUGGGCGAAAGCCUGAUGCAGCAACGCCGCGUGAGUGAUGAAGGCCUUCGGGUCGUAAAGCUCUGUCCUCAAGGAAGAUAAUGACGGUACUUGAGGAGGAAGCCCCGGCUAACUACGUGCCAGCAGCCGCGGUAAUACGUAGGGGGCUAGCGUUAUCCGGAAUUACUGGGCGUAAAGGGUGCGUAGGUGGUUUCUUAAGUCAGAGGUGAAAGGCUACGGCUCAACCGUAGUAAGCCUUUGAAACUGGGAAACUUGAGUGCAGGAGAGGAGAGUGGAAUUCCUAGUGUAGCGGUGAAAUGCGUAGAUAUUAGGAGGAACACCAGUUGCGAAGGCGGCUCUCUGGACUGUAACUGACACUGAGGCACGAAAGCGUGGGGAGCAAACAGGAUUAGAUACCCUGGUAGUCCACGCCGUAAACGAUGAGUACUAGCUGUCGGAGGUUACCCCCUUCGGUGGCGCAGCUAACGCAUUAAGUACUCCGCCUGGGAAGUACGCUCGCAAGAGUGAAACUCAAAGGAAUUGACGGAAGG